rnacentral:sRNA from 1 species
GCCUACAACACAGCAGUCCCCUCAGGAUGAGCAGGAAAAGCUCUUGGAUGAAGCCAUACAGGCUGUGAAGGUCCAGUCAUUCCAAAUGAAGAGAUGCCUGGACAAAAACAAGCUUAUGGAUGCUCUAAAACAUGCUUCUAAUAUGCUUGGUGAACUCCGGACUUCUAUGUUAUCACCAAAGAGUUACUAUGAACUUUGUAUCUUUUGAAUGUUGAAGACUAAACAUUUGGACCAUACCUUUUUCUUGAUAAGGCCAAUUUUGUUUGUUCUUUAUGAAGUUUUUCUGGAGUUAUCUUAUUCUUCGUUAUCUGAGUCACAUGGCACUCCUUCUCCACGCAGAUGUGCUAAGUGAGAAAAACACUUUGAGAGUACUCCUUUCCUAUGCUUAAACAUCUUUAAAUGUGUUGUCGGUGCAUCUCAAUUUUCAGACCCUUCAUGAGUAUAUUUAGGCUAUGACACAGUUGGUUCUUUAAUACUUAGAUUUUGUUAUGCAGCAGUCUCAAAUGGACAGGAAUUUAAU